rfam:Erinaceus europaeus unplaced genomic scaffold scaffold00427, whole genome shotgun sequence
GGAUGUGAGGGCGAUCUGGCUGCGACAUCUGUUACCCCACUGAUCGCCAGGGUUGAUUCGGCUGAUCUGGCUGGCUAGGCGGGUGUCCCCUUCCUCCCUCACCGCUCCAUGUGCGUCCCUCCUGAAGCUGCCCACUCGGUCGAAGAGGACGGCCUUCCCAAAAUAGAGACGGACCAAAGAAGGGUAUAUGAGUAGCUGCGCUCCCCUGCUAGAACCUCCAAACAAGCUCUCAAGAUAGAGACACCUGCAGACCUGCUUCACUGCCUGUGAAGUGCCUCCCCUGAAGAUGGGGAGCUGGGGGCUCAAACCGGGAUCCUG